rnacentral:misc_RNA from 1 species
UGGCUGCUCGUGCCCACGAUGUAGCCGCCAUGAGUAUUAAAGGUAACUCCGCGAUUCUAAAUUUCCCAGAACUCGUUGACUCACUGCCUCGUCCAGUGUCAUUAAUGCCGCAAGAUAUUCAGGCAGCCGCCGCUAAAGCUGCUUCAAUGGUUGAGUUUAACUCAUUACCCUCGUCUUCAUCUUCGUCUUCUUCUUCAUCUCCUUCUUCGUCAUCAUCAGCAAUAUCGGAGUCAUCAUCCCCGGUGUCAGUGUCUGAGGAUGUUUCAGAAUCCGAGGAAUUAAGCGAAAUUGUGGAGUUGCCAAAUAUUGAAGGGAGUUUUGACUUAGCCGAGCCACAGACCGAGUUCAUAUUGUUUGACUCAGUGGAUGGGUGGGUUUACGAUCCUACAGAGAUGAUGAGUGGAGAAUUCUCUGACCAGUUGUUGGAAUUGGAGAGUUUGGUUUCCAGCUA